rnacentral:rRNA from 1 species
AUGAACGCUGGCGACGUGGAUAAGGCAUGCAAGUCAAGGGGGCCCCGAGAGCAAUCGAGGGGCAACCGGCAGACGAGGUAGUAACACGUGAGUACAUACUCCAAAGUCAGGGAUAGCCCAUCGAAAGAUGGGGUAAUACUUGAUGGUCCCGCAAGGGUAAAGAUUUAUCGCUUUGGAAGUGGCUCGCGAAGUAUCAGGUAGUUGGUAAGGUAACGGCUUACCAAGCCUAUGACGCUUAGAGGAGCUGAGAGGCUGACCCUCACCGAUAGCACUGAGACACGGGCUAUACACCUACGGGUGGCUGCAGCCGAGAAUAUUCGACAAUGGACGAAAGUCUGAUCGAGCGACGUCGCGUGGUGGAAGAAGGCCUUCGGGCCGUAAACACCUUUUAUGAGGGAGAUAGUUGGAUUCAUCCAACACGAUAGUACUUCAUGAAUAAGGGGUUGCUAACUCUGU